rnacentral:tRNA from 1 species
GCAUUGGUGGUUCAGUGGUAGAAUUCUCGCCUCCCACGUGGGAGACAUGAUCUGAUUCCCGGCCAAUGCA